CGUAGGAUGUGGUAGGCCCUGGUUGGGGUCCCUAUGAAACUGAAACCAAUACAAGGCUGCUUUUCCACCAGGGUGUAUGAUGAGUCUUGCCCUAGAAUUGGUGAAUUUGAUAUUAAGCCCACAGAGGAAAGUUUGAGUAAAGAGGCUGCCAUUUUCUUUGAGGACACAGAGAAAAUUAUGAAGAAGAAGAAAGGAGGGAGACUGAGGAGAGGACAAUUAUUAGAAUCGCCCAUACUUAACUUUCUGUAAUCUAAAGUGUUUUCUUCACUGUCUGGUAGAAUUUCAGAUCUUCUGCAUUCUUCCAUUAUUUCUUACUCUUGGCAUCUUCAUACUCAUACAUACCUUGUUUUGAUUGUGUUGCCCCCUGUUGCCCUCUCUCAUCCACUUCCACUCCACCUGACUCCUCUUCCUUGUAACCCACCUGUGUGGCCCUGCCUCUCUCCGAGUGUGCAGGUUUUAUGCAGGUAGCCACAGGUGCUUUGUGUCCAUAGUCACAGAAACCAUGUUAUUUCCAGAAUGUUUCACAGCACAUCAUCCCCAUCCAGGUUUCCUGCUCUUCUCCCACAGGUUCCCCAAGCUCUGGAGAGGGUGACUGCGAAGCCCCACUUUGGGCGAGCACUUAACAGUCGGUUCCACUCAGCCCUUGACCCAUAGAUGGCCACAUGUUGACAUGGCAGGGCUGGACACAGCAAGGACAGAACGAGAAGGGACUUCUCUUGUGCAGUUAUCACAUCUGAGGAGCUGGUCAUGAAGAAUAUUCACUGACAUGGAAGAGUGACACGGAAUCCCCACUGGUCCUAGCGCAGUCCCUUUAAGGUGUGCUGUUUUCUACAGUCUCUGACAAUGAUAAGCCACAACCUCUCCUACAGUGAACACACAGCUCCGCCUGCCUUCCCUGCAGUCCUCAUUUCUGCAUGGACUUUGCAAAGAACAAUCGACUCUGUAUCUAUAGCAGCAUCUGCUGCCAGGGUGUUGGGUGACCGUUUACUUCUUAUUGGGCACACGGUAGCUUUUAUUUCCGAUAUAUGGUAAGGCCUGGCAGUUUCCUUUCCUACCAGGAAGAAUUACCAAUCUCAGCCAAUCCCAUGUCAUCUUCAUCCUCAUCCUCUCUCUUCCACCAGAGCCUGGCUCCUGUAUUUUAUUGUAGGGCUUAGCAGACUAAACUCUCCCCUUAUUACUAGGGAUAGACACCUGGAUGAGACGUUUUGCCUCUGACCCUUGUGAUGGGUCCCAGAAUAUAUUGCUUUGGGAA